UUCCUGAGCUGGAAACUGUCAUAAAAUCCUUUCUGAGCGAUAUUAUGCACAUUUUCUGGUUCAAGAC
rfam:Haemonchus contortus, ISE/inbred ISE, WGS project CAVP01000000 data, contig: Hcontortus_33486